rnacentral:rRNA from 1 species
CAGCACCGCGGUAAAACGUAGGUGGCAAGCGUUGUCCGGAAUUAUUGGGCGUAAAGGGCUCGCAGGCGGUUUCUUAAGUCUGAUGUGAAAGCCCCCGGCUCAACCGGGGAGGGUCAUUGGAAACUGGGAAACUUGAGUGCAGAAGAGGAGAGUGGAAUUCCACGUGUAGCGGUGAAAUGCGUAGAGAUGUGGAGGAACACCAGUGGCGAAGGCGACUCUCUGGUCUGUAACUGACGCUGAGGAGCGAAAGCGUGGGGAGCGAACAGGAUUAGAUACCCGCGUAGUCCCUGUCUCUUAUACA